UACAGAGGUCUCAAGCGUUGUUCGGAUUCAUUGGGCGUAAAGGGCGCGUAGGCGGCCUGUUAAGUCGAACGUGAAAUCCCUGGGCUCAACCCAGGAACUGCGUCCGAUACUGGCAGGCUUGAAUUCGGGAGAGGGAUGCGGAAUUCCAGGUGUAGCGGUGAAAUGCGUAGAUAUCUGGAGGAACACCGGUGGCGAAGGCGGCAUCCUGGACCGAUAUUGACGCUGAGGCGCGAAAGCCAGGGGAGCAAACGGG
rnacentral:rRNA from 1 species